GCUUUGAGGUGUCCUAUGCUCAAGCUGCGUCCAGACUCCUUGCUGCCUGCAGAUCAAGAUGUAGAACUCUCAGCUACCUCUCCAGCACCAUGUCUACCUGAAUGCUGGUCAUUGAAGGAGAGUGAGAGUCAGAACUGAGGGAGAUGUGAAGCGAAAGAGCUGGAACCAGCCCUGCACCCGGCACAUGGAAAGGAACUAUCAGGGAGCAGAUGAGCUAUUGCAGCCUGAGGCUCCCUACAGAUUCCCAUUCGUAUAGCUGAUGUUCUCCUUCUGAUGGAUUCUGUGGCUUCCACUGCUGGGAUAUGCUGACCACUUGUAGACAUCCUCAGAAAUUGGGCAAGGUUCCCUAGGAAGGCAGAAGAGCCCAGCGGAGGUGGCAGGAAAGCGUGGGGUGACAUAGAGCGUUCAGCCGAACACUGUCCCAUCCCAUCCGUCUUUGUGGUGUGCUUCGCAGCUAGGCUCAUCCAGACAUUAGCAGGUCAGCAAACCUGAAUUCCCUUGAUGGAUUUACAUCACAGAAUUUUAUACCUCAGUUCUGUCCUUAUUGUCACUUGUCACACUGGAGAUGAUAUGGGAGGUGGCCCGCAGCAAGGCUGGGGCAAACAUCACCUACCUGCCCAACAUCAAAGGAGCUCAUCCUCUGCUCCAAGGGAGUCAGUUUUGCUGUUUUCCAGGCUCUCCUGGCACCACGGGCAUCCGACACACCUAUUGAUCACUACCUCAGCAUAACAGGAGUGGAAGAAAAGGCAGCUCCUAUCUGAAGCCAGCUCGGCUUUACCAGGAGGAACGAUCCUCACGCGUGACUGACACCGCACUGUCUCCACAUGGAAUACUUGCCAAAUAGGAAACACCAGGGGAGUCCCCGCCUGCUCCUUCCAGUGUCCUCUUUACGGAGUUGGUUUUCUGUUAACAUUUUCUUCUCCUCUAAAGUAUCUCAUGAGACAGGAGCCUCGGUGACCUCGGCAUGGCCAUUUCGUUAGCAUUCAGCAUUUGCCAAAGGCUUGACAGGCACAACAGUUUUUACAGUAAAUUUUUUUGUUGUUGUUGCUUCCUAAGUACAAAUGU